GACGAACCGUGCGAACGUUUGUUCGGAAUCAUUGGGCGUAAAGCGCGCGUAGGCGGUUACGCAAGUCGGUUGUGAAAAUCCGGGGCUCAACCCCGGACCUGCAUCCGAUACUGCGUGACUAGAGGUAGGUAGGGGAGAUCGGAAUUCUCGGUGUAGCGGUGAAAUGCGUAGAUAUCAGGAGGAACACCGGUGGGCGAAGGCGGGUCUCUGGGCCGAUACUGACGUGGAGGAGCGAAAGCGUGGGGAGCGAACAGG
rnacentral:rRNA from 1 species